GCCUGAUUGACGACAGCAAGCUCUCUUAAGAAGCCCGAGGACCUUGAAGCCUCUGUUGCCUGAGCUGAGUGUUGAAGAACUUGUAGGAGCUGGAGGGCAAGAAGGUCAGGAUCCCAGAGCUAGAGGAUCACUGGACCAGGGAAAUGAGGGACGUGUGGAGCACAGGGCUUCCCUCUAGUUCCAAGUGAACAGCCCAGGUGUUGGCACUUGUUGACCUUUGGAAUGUGAGUGUGGGAUAACCAGAUAAUCAGCGGUAUAUCGGGCAAUAUUCUGCUGUGACCCAUGGAGUUUUCAUUGACCGAAUUUCGGA